GAUGAACGCUAGCGAUAGGCUUAACACAUGCAAGUCGAGGGGCAGCGCGGGUAGCAAUACCUGUCGGCGACCGGCGCACGGGUGAGUAACGCGUAUGUAACCUGCCCGCAACAGGGGGAUAACCCGGCGAAAGUCGGACUAAUACCGCAUAAAACAGGGGUCCCGCAUGGGAAUAUUUGUUAAAGAUUUAUCGGUUGCGGAUGGGCAUGCGUACCAUUAGGUAGUUGGUGAGGUAACGGCUCACCAAGCCUUCGAUGGUUAGGGGUUCUGAGAGGAAGGUCCCCCACACUGGUACUGAGACACGGACCAGACUCCUACGGGAGGCAGCAGUGAGGAAUAUUGGGCUAUGGGCGAGAGCCUGAACCAGCCAAGUCGCGUGAAGGAUGACUGCCCUAUGGGUUGUAAACUUCUUUUACAAGGGAAUAAAAUGAGAUACGUGUAUUUUAUUGCAUGUACCUUGGGAAUAAGCAUCGGCUAACUCCGUG
rnacentral:rRNA from 1 species